rnacentral:rRNA from 1 species
AUUGAACGCUGGCGGAAUGCUUUACACAUGCAAGUCGAACGGCAGCACGGACUUCGGUCUGGUGGCGAGUGGCGAACGGGUGAGUAAUGUAUCGGAACGUGCCCAGUCGUGGGGGAUAACGUAGUGAAAAUUACGCUAAUACCGCAUACGAUCUAUGGAUGAAAGCGGGGGAUCGCAAGACCUCGCGCGAUUGGAGCGGCCGAUAUCAGAUUAGGUAGUUGGUGGGGUAAAGGCCCACCAAGCCAACGAUCUGUAGCUGGUCUGAGAGGACGACCAGCCACACUGGAACUGAGACACGGCCCAGACUCCUACGGGAGGCAGCAGUGGGGAAUUUUGGACAAUGGGGGCAACCCUGAUCCAGCAAUGCCGCGUGCAGGAAGAAGGCCUUCGGGUUGUAAACUGCUUUUGUAUGGAACGAAACGGUCUGGGUUAAUACCCUGGGCUAAUGACGGUACCGUAAGAAUAAGCACCGGCUAACUACGUGCCAGCAGCCGCAGUAA